GCCAUCAUGGCGUAAUGGAUAACGCAUCGGGCUCCUAACUCGAAGAUUGCGGGUUCGAGUCCCGCUGAUGGUU
rfam:Absidia glauca strain CBS 101.48 genome assembly, contig: contig_8824